rnacentral:rRNA from 1 species
UACGUAGGGGGCGAGCGUUGUCCGGAGUUACUGGGCGUAAAGCGCUUGUAGGCGGUCCACCAAGUUUGGGGUGACAGUUGCCGACUUAAUCGGCAAAGUGCCUCAAAGACUGGCGGACUUGAGGGCCACAGAGGGACAUGGAACUCCAGGUGUAGUGGUGAAAUGCGUAGAUAUCUGGAAGAACACCAGCGGCGAAAGCACUCUGCUGGGCCGACACUGACACUGAGAGACGAAAGCUAGGGGAGCGAAUGGG